rnacentral:rRNA from 1 species
GUGCCAGCCGCCGCGGUAAUACGUAGGGGGCGAGCGUUGUCCGGAUUUACUGGGCGUAAAGAGCGCGUAGGCGGUCUGAAGAGUCGGCUGUGAAAUCUCUGGGCCCAACCCAGAGGGGUCGGCCGAGACCUUUGGACUUGAGGGUGGUAGAGGAAGGUGGAAUUCCGGGUGUAGUGGUGAAAUGCGUAGAGAUCCGGAGGAACACCAGUGGCGAAGGCGGCCUUCUGGGCCAUACCUGACGCUGAGGCGCGAAAGCGUGGGGAGCGAACCGAAUUAGAUACCCGAGUAGUCC